rnacentral:lncRNA from 1 species
UACAGGUUUGUAGCCUAGGAGGAAUAGACUAUACCAUAUAGUCUAGGUGUGUAAUAGGUUAUAACAUCUAAGUUUGUGAAAAUACACUCUAAGAUGUUUGUACAACAAAAUCAUCUAACAAUGCGUUUCUCAGAAUGAAACCCCAUCAUUAAGUGAUGCAUGACUAUGUCUUGUUGGUGAAGUGUGUUGUAAUUUCCUUAGAAUUUUUUACAUAGAUGAUCCUCUAAUUUCUAAAUAAAGAUAGGUUUUACUUUUGUCAUUCCACUCUAUGCCUUUAGGUUUUUUUUUUUCUUACUUUAUUGACUGGUAGAACUUCCUGUAUGAUAUUUAAUAGAAGUGGCAAGACCAUAAAUCCUGCUAAGUUUAUAUUUCUGGAUAAACAUUUAGUCUUUGGUUAUUAAGUGUGAUAUUAGUUGAAAGUUUUUUGUAGAUGCCUUUUGUUUUGUUGAGGACAUUUCCUUCUAUUCCUACUUCUUUGAGAG